rnacentral:rRNA from 1 species
CACGUAGGGGUGCGAGCGUUGUCCGGAAUUAUUGGGCGUAAAGAGCUCGUAGGCGGUGUGUCGCGUCGGCCGUGAAAACCUGCAGCUUAACUGUGGGCUUGCGGUCGAUACGGGCAGACUGGAGUACUGCAGGGGAGACUGGAAUUCCUGGUGAUAGCGGUGAAAUGCGCAGAUAUCAGGAGGAACACCGGUGGCGAAGGCGGAUCUCUGGGCCAUUAACUGACGCUGGAGGAGCGAAAGCGUGGGGAGCGAACAGG